ensembl:lncRNA
AAAAGUCAAGAAUGGGCGCGGUUUGAGCACGAAUCAGCCUGUCAUGCGCAGAAACGCAAGAAAACGUGUGCAGUUUGAUGAGAUUUUAGCGGGUUUUUAAAAAUUUAUCAGGAUUAAGCACAUUUCAGAAUUGAAUAAGAGGCCUUUUUGCGAGGUCUCACAGGAAGCUGAAUUUGGAUUGGAAUGACGAGGAAUUAUUUCACCCUGGCGUGCCUAAUCAUACAUGACUUUGAGGAGACGAGGCGCGCUACAAUCCCAGCACGUCGUAUUUGAAUAUGGACAGAAACAGAUCAGACAUUAGCAACUGCUAUUGAUCCUCAAAUAGGGGCCGAGCUGUCUGUUUUGAACGCCGCUGCCCGGUCGAUCCCAUCUGACCUACUGUUCACAAGGUAAAAAAAAAGAGAAAACAAAACAGGGAAGAUUCUGCUCAUAAUUGGGUUGCGGCAGC